rnacentral:rRNA from 1 species
UACGGAGGGUGCAAGCGUUAUCCGGAUUUACUGGGCUUAAAGGGUGCGUAGGUGGCUAAUUAAGUCAGUGGUGAAAUCUUCAGGCUUAACCUGGAAACUGCCAUUGAUACUAUUUAUCUUGAAUACUUUGGAGGGAAGCGGAAUAUGUCAUGUAGCGGUGAAAUGCUUAGAUAUGACAUAGAACACCAAUUGCGAAGGCAGCUUUCUGGACAGUAAUUGACACUGAGGCACGAAAGCGUGGGGAGCAAACAGG